CUGCCGAAUCAACUAGCCCCG
rnacentral:siRNA from 1 species